rnacentral:rRNA from 1 species
CUACGGGUUGCAGCAGUGAGGGAUAUUGCACAAUGGGGGGAACCCUGAUGCAGCAACGCCGCGUGGAGGAUGACGCAUUUCGGUGUGUAAACUCCUUUUAUAUGUCAAGAAAAUGACGGUAGCAUAUGAAUAAGCACCGGCUAACUCCGUGCCAGCAGCCGCGGUAAUACGGGAGGGUGCAAGCGUUACUCGGAAUCACUGGGCGUAAAGGACGCGUAGGCGGGUUGGAAAGUCAGGUGUGAAAUCCUACAGCUUAACUGUAGAACUGCACUUGAAACUUCUAAUCUAGAGUAUGGGAGGGGGAGAUGGAAUUAGUGGUGUAGGGGUAAAAUCCGUAGAUAUCACUAGGAAUACCUAAAGCGAAGGCGAUCUCCUGGAACAUUACUGACGCUAAGGCGUGAAAGCGUGGGGAGCAAACAGGAUUAGAUACCCUUGUAGUC